AUGGGUCGCAGAAGGGCCCGCCUAUGGGCACUUUUCCAGUGCUGCAUCCCCAAGGCAAAGGCCAAGACAAGGAAGAACGUGGCCUCGGCCCAAGUCCUGGAAGCAGAGUGGCCUGAGGAGUUGGCAACAUCUACGGAAGAACUCAAUAUAUGCCGGGAACAGCUUCUUGCAAGAGAAGAAGAAAUAGCUCUGCUGAAUGCAGAGCGGAAUAAUACCAGGAGAACCUGCGACGAAGACCUGGCUCAGGUGAUCGAGCUCCAGGAAAUCAUCGAGAAGAAGUCACGGGAGCAGAGAGAGAUGAAGCACCGCCUGGCAGCCCUCUCUGCCCACGUGACAGAGCUGGAGAAGGACCUGGACACGGCCAGGAAGGACCUCCUCAAGUCCAAGGAGGUGAAAGUGAAACUACAGCAGGACAUCCGUGAAGUGCAGCCCCUGAAAGAUCAGGACCGGGAACGCGGGCAGCAAGCCAGCGUGCUGGCCAACGUGGGCCAGCUGUUCAAGAGUGACAAGGGUGUGUCAGACGGCGAGGGUGACCGGGUCACCCUCUUCAGCAUGCCCACUCUGCUGUCGCCCCGCGGCCAGGCCGAUGCCAAGACUCCGGCCGGGAGGAUUCAGAAGCAGCUGGACAGGAUCAACGAAGAAAGCUGGUUGAUCCAAAAAGACAAGGAGAACACGGAUCAGCGGGCGGAGGGGAUUGAGAGCAGGGUGGGCAGUGGGAGCUUCAGCAACCUUCGGCGCUUUAACUCCUCCAACUCCCUCAACCUGGAUCCCGCCUCCUCGCAUGCCGGCUCCUUCCCGCCCAGCAGAGGGCGCUCCAUGCCCGAAAGGAGGCAGCACAGCCCUGAGCGAGAAGAAGACAAGCUGGGCUUCAUGACUCUGCUGCCAGCCUUACAGGAAGAGGUAGAAGAUGACACCAUCAAAUGUGAAACCUCGACCUCCGCCUCGCUGCGGUCCUUUCGGCUGGACCGGCUCACGGGCUCACUGCGCACAGCCAGCGAUGAGGACAUCAGGGACGCCCACAACGCGACAGGCUCUCAGGACGGUCCCGGGGGCAACCCCAGCAACAGCAACAGCAGCCAGGACUCGCUGCAGAAAGCCCCAAAGAAGAAGGGCAUCAAGUCCUCCAUCGAUCGUUGGUUUGGCAAGAAGGAAAAGGGCCGGCCUGGACACACCAGCAGGGAGGCGUUAGGACCAGGUGGGGCUUCACCGUUCAGAGGGAGGAGGGUCUGCGUGUAUGUCCCUUCUGUGUCUCCCCCGCUGUCCCCACGAGGCUCCUGUCACUCACGCUAGGUGUCCUUCUGGGAGGAGUGGAUGAGGCGUCUGUCUUCUCUAGGGUCCGAGAUGAUCAGAUCAGUUGAUGAGUGGAUGGGUGGACAGGUAGAUGAACAGAUGGCUGGCUGGAUGGGUGGGUGAACGGAGCAUGGAAUGAGUAAAGCAGAUGCUUACUCCCAUGAGAAACGUAUUCUACGAAACGGAUUGAGUAGGAGCUGGGCAAUGACUGUUUCCUCCAGAACAGUGACAAGUGUUUGGAAACGGCCUAAGUGCUCAUCAGAGAGGAGUGAGGUACAAUCUGUGGGCACCCCACAAGGAACAGCAUCCCCUCCUUCCUGCCACUUUCCCCAUCCCCAGGGGCUCAUGAGGGGUUCUGCCCAUUACCCCACCCCAGCCCACAGCCACUCAGGUCCUCCUGGGGUCAACUCAUCACACAGUGUUAUCAUCAGGCCCCCGUCUCUCUCGGCUUCAUCUCCUUAAGGACAGGGUAUGUUCCUGCCUCUUCAGCCAGAUAUUUGUUGAGUGUCUUCUUUUGCUGGGUGUGGGAUUUACAGGGUGAGUAAAAACAAUGUGGUCUGGAGCACAGUGAAGGGAAAGAGAAAAAAAGGAGCA
ensembl:lincRNA